GAUGAAGAACGUAGCGAAAUGCGAUAAGUAAUGUGAAUUGCAGAAUUCAGUGAAUCAUCGAAUCUUUGAACGCACAUUGCGCCCCCUGGUAUUCCGGGGGGCAUGCCUGUCCGAGCGUCAUUACAACCCUCAAGCUCAGCUUGGUGUUGGGCCCCGCCGCCCCGGCGGGCCCUAAAGUCAGUGGCGGUGCCGUCCGGCUCCGAGCGUAGUAAUUCUUCUCGCUCUGGAGGUCCGGUCGUGUGCUCGCCAGCAACCCCCAAUUUUUUUCAGGUUGACCUCGGAUCAGGUAGGGAUACCCGCUGAACUUAAGCAUAUCAAUAAGCAGAGGA
rnacentral:misc_RNA from 1 species